GCAUCUGGUAGCAGACGUACAGAAAACAACAUUGUAUUGUGUGUAUUCAUUUGAUUGUAUGUUAGUAGUACUGCAUUUAUACAUUAAUUCAGACAAUGAAUCAACCAGGCCAACUGAAAUUUACAUUGGCCACUGAGAAGAGAAAACAACAACUUGAAGGUAGCUGACUACUGAAAGAAUCUUGCUGACUCACAUCUCACAUCCAGCAGUAUUGGUGUAGACAUGCCUUGUCCCAGACCACAGGAGUUGCACCCAGUGUCAUUAGAGGAAAGUGGACCUAGGCGAUACUGCCCACCAGGGAGUGGGUGGCCAUCUUCAAACCAGGGAUGCAAACGAGUCACCUUUUUGCGAAAUUUGUCGUUUUGAAUCCAAAAUAGGUGACCUUUGUGAUUUGUGUAGAUUCGAUGAGAAAAGUUUUGGGGGGUUGGAUCACUACUGGCUGUAAGCAAACGAGUGAUGCACAUUUGGAGCAAUACUGGCUGUAUCCAAGGCUCAGUCAAUCGUUUACAUAACAACAGAAUGCAGCAUUUCCCAAGUGCAAUAUUUAUGUGUGUGGUUACAAGCGUUCUAUUAUGAAGGCUAUCAGGGUUAACUGCAAUAUUAGUGUAUUGUUUUUUUUCUCAAGACUUGAGUGUCAUUUGCAGUAAAGCCUAGGCAACAAAUAAGACUGGAUUGCUUUCUUUACAUUUUUUAGCUGUGAGUUAUGUUCACAUUCUUCACUUUUUAUUUUACACACAGAAACGGGUCAUGCAGAUCAUAUUCUUUGUUGUUUAACCAGUUAAAACCUGCAUUUCCCCCUAGCAGGGAGGUUUUGCAUGUUUCACUAGUUAAAACCUGCAUUUCCCCCUAGCAGGGAGGUUUUGCAUGUUUCAUUAGUUAAAACCUGCAUUUCCCCCUAGCAGGGAGAUUUUGCAUGUUUCAUUAGUUAAAACCUGCAUGUCCCCCUAGCAGGGAGGUUUUGCAUGUUUCAUUAGUUAAAACCUGCAUUUCCCCCUAGCAGGGAGGUUUUGCAUGUUUCAUUAGUUAAAACCUGCAUUUCCCCCUAGCAGGGAGGUUUUGCAUGUUUCAUUAGU